UUGCAACCUGAACUCAGGCGUGAUUACCCGCUGAACUUAAGCAUAUCAUUUAGCGGAGGAAAAGAAACUAACAAGGAUUCCCUAGUAACGGCGAGUGAACGGGGAGAAGCCCAGCGCUGAAUCUUUCGGUGUUACACCGUUAAGAAAUGUAGCGUAUAGGUGUGGUUUUCAGUUUGUGCUACUUAUCCAAAGUCCCUUUGAUAGGGGCCACAUUCCCGAGGGUGCGAGACCUGUGCGGAUAGUGGAGCAAGCUGUACGAUCAUACCUUGGAGUCGGGUUGCUUGAAAGUGCAGCCUAAAGUGGGUGAUAAACUUCAUCUAAGGCUAAAUAUAGACGCGAAUUCGAUAGCAAACAAGUACUGUGAAGGAAAGUUGCAAAGAACUUUGAAGAGAGUUCAAGAGAACGUGAAAUCGCUGGAGUGGAAACGGAGAGUUGACGUAGUCCGGUGACUAAGUUUGCCGAAAUCGCUUAAUUGUGAUUAAGGUGAAUGUAUGUUGCCUAUGGCUGCGCUGACAGCACUGGUUGUACGUUCGAACCGUUUUCGUUGCCCAAUUUUCGAAUUGGUGUCUUGUUUACAGGUAGGUUUGUUAUGACUAGUGUUUUAUCCUGUUUUAUGCAGGGUGUCAGUGUGAAGGUCGACCACCUCUCCGACCCGUCUUGAAACACGGACCGAGGAGUGUAACUUGUACGCGAGUCAAAGGGUGGAAAACCCCAAGGCGCAAUGAAAGUAAAGGUCGGUUAACCGACUGACAUGGGAUCCGUUUCGUUUUGAAGCGGCGCACCAUGGCCCUGUCUUGUCUGCUUGCAGAUGGGCAGCGGUAGAGCGUACAGGUUGCGACCCGAAAGAUGGUGAACUAUGCCUGAGCAGGACGAAGUCAGAGGAAACUCUGGUGGAAGUCCGUAUCGGUUCUGACGUGCAAAUCGAUCGAUAGACUUGGGUAUAGGGGCGAAAGACUAAUCGAACCAUCUAGUAGCUGGUUCCUCGAAGUUUCCCCCAGGAUAGCUGGAGUUCAUUGCGGUUAUAUCCGGUAAAGCGAAUGAUUAGAGGACUUGGGGUCGAAACGACCUCAACCUAUUCUCAAACUUUCAAUGGGUAUGUUGUCUCGGUUUCUUUGUUGAACUGUUGACACGAACGCGAACUCCAAGUGGGCCAUUUUGGUAAGCAGAACUGGCGCUGUGGGAUGAACCAAACGUUGGGUUAAGGUGCCUAACUUUUCGCUCAUGAGACCCCAUAAAGGCGUUGGUUGAUAUAGACAGCAGGACGGUGGCCAUGGAAGUCGGUACCCGCUAAGGAGUGUGUAACAACUCACCUGCCGAAUCAACUAGCCCUGAAAAUGGAUGGCGCUUGAGCGAGAGACCUAUACCCAACCGUUGCUGGCUUGUGCGUGCCUGUCGCCUGGCUGCAACGAGUAGGAGGUCGUGGCGGUUGCGUCGAAGGUUUUGGGCGUAGGCCCAACUGGAGCUUCCGUCAGUGCAGAUCUCGGUGGUAGUAGCAAAUAUUUAAGUUCGAUCCUUGAAGACUGAAGUGGAGAAGGGUUCCACGUGAACAGUAGUUGAAUGUGGGUCAGUCGAUCCUAAGAUACUGGCUUAUGCCUUGUAUCAUCGAGAGGGAAAAGUCUCUUUUCUCUCGGAUAUCAAAAGGGAAUAGGGUUAAUAUUCCCUAACGCAGACACAGAGAUUGUGGCUCUUACGAGUCACUUGCGCGGUAACGCAUUCGAACUUGGUUACGUCGCUCAGAGACCGAGCUAGAGUUCUCUUCUCUAGUUAAGGAACGGACUCCUGGAAUCGGUUCAGCCGUAGAUAGGGACGUUGUUUCCGUAAAGCAUCGCGGUUUCUGUGAUGUCUCGUGUUCUCUGGACGGCCCUUGAAAAACCAAGGAGGCUAUUAAUCUGUGCUGCAUCGUACCGAUAUCCGCAUCAGGUCUCCAAGGUGAACAGCCUCUAGUCGAUAGAAUAAUGUAGGUAAGGGAAGUCGGCAAAUUAGAUCCGUAACUUCGGGAAAAGUUGGCUCCAGUGACCGGGUCGGUUGGCUUGUUAACUGAUGCUUGUGCGGUUUCGUCCGUGGCUGGCUGAUACUAACGUUGAUGCUGGACUAGUGACAUGACUGCCUUGUGGACGUUUUCAGGUGUGUGCUUUGUCUUCGGACUUAGUAUCCUGAUCGACCAUCAAAACGGUCGAACUGGAACUGGUACGGACUCAGGGAAUCCGACUGUCUAAUUAAAACAGAGGAGACAGAUGGUCCUUGCGGACGUUUACUGUCUCUGAUUUCUGCCCAGUGCUCUGAAUGUUAAAUCGUAGUAAUUCGAGUAAGCGCGGGUAAACGGGGGAGUAACUAUGACUCUCUUAAGGUAGCCAAAUGCCUCGUCAGUACUGACGCGCAUGAAUGGAUUAACGAGAUUUGUAACUAACACGAAAGAGGGCUUGGCUUAGCAAAAAAGAUGUUGAGCUUGACUCUAGUUUGACAUUGUGAAGAGUCAUGAGAGGUGUAGCAUAGGUGGGAGACUUCGGUCGACAAUGAAAUACCACCACUUUCAUCGAUUCUUUACUUAUUCGGUGAGAAAGAUUGAGCUUUCUUUGAAGCAAAGCCACCUGGUGGUAUUGCGACGCCGAAAGAGUGUCAGGGAGUUUGACUUUGAAACGUAAGCAGGUGUCACGGAAAGAGGCUAGAGAACAAAAGCUCGUGAUUUGACUUCAGUGAACACGAAAGUGGUGAUCCUUUUAACCAGAUGGGAUUUCUUGAGGUGAACAGAAAAGAUGGUGAUUUACUUGAGUUGUGAAAGAUAGCGACGUUGCUUUUGAA
rnacentral:rRNA from 1 species